rnacentral:rRNA from 1 species
AGAUUGAACGCUGGCGGCAUGCUUUACACAUGCAAGUCGAACGGCAGCACGGGGGCAACCCUGGUGGCGAGUGGCGAACGGGUGAGUAAUGCAUGGGUGAUCUACCUUAGGGAUGGGGAUAUCCUUCCGAAAGGAGGGGCAAUACCGAAUAUUGUCCGGAGCCGUGAAGGGUUCCGGGGAAAGGGAGGCCUCUGAUACAAGCUUUCGCCUUAAGAUGAGCCCAUGGCCCAUCAGCUAGUUGGUAGGGUAAAGGCCUACCAAGGCUACGACGGGUCGCUGGUCUGAGAGGACGACCAGCCACACUGGCACUGAGAUACGGGCCAGACUCCUACGGGAGGCAGC